rnacentral:rRNA from 1 species
CCUACGGGAGGCAGCAGUGAGGAAUAUUGGUCAAUGGACGAGAGUCUGAACCAGCCAAGUAGCGUGAAGGAUGACUGCCCUAUGGGUUGUAAACUUCUUUUAUAAAGGAAUAAAACGAGGCACGUGUGCCUGUUUGCAUGUACUUUAUGAAUAAGGAUCGGCUAACUCCGUGCCAGCAGCCGCGGUAAGACGGAGGAUCCGAGCGUUAUCCGGAUUUAUUGGGGUUAAAGGGAGCGUAGAUGGGUUGUUAAGUCAGUUGUGAAAGUUUGCGGCUCAACCGUAAAAUUGCAAUUGAUACUGGCAGUCUUGAGUACAGUUGAGGUAAGCGGAAUUCGUGGUGUAGCGGUGAAAUGCUUAGAUAUCACGAAGAACCCCGAUUGCGAAGGCAGCUUACUAAACUGUGACUGACAUUGAUGCUCGAAAGUGUGGGUAUCAAACAGGAUUAGAUACCCCGGUAGUC